rnacentral:misc_RNA from 1 species
UUGUGAGCUGGUGGUUUGU